UACGAAGGGGGCUAGCGUUGCUCGGAAUCACUGGGCGUAAAGGGUGCGUAGGCGGAUCUUUAAGUCAGAGGUGAAAUCCCAAGGCUCAACCUUGGAACUGCCUUUGAUACUGGGGAUCUUGAGUCCGGGAGAGGUGAGUGGAACUGCGAGUGUAGAGGUGAAAUUCGUAGAUAUUCGCAAGAACACCAGUGGCGAAGGCGGCUCACUGGCCCGGUACUGACGCUGAGGUGCGAAAGCGUGGGGAGCAAACAGG
rnacentral:rRNA from 1 species